ACGAAGGGGGCUAGCGUUGCUCGGAAUGACUGGGCGUAAAGGGCGCGUAGGCGGUUUGAUCAGUCAGGCGUGAAAUCCCCGGGCUCAACCUGGGAACUGCGCUUGAUACGGUCAGACUCGAGUGUGGAAGAGGGUCGUGGAAUUCCCAGUGUAGAGGUGAAAUUCGUAGAUAUUGGGAAGAACACCGGUGGCGAAGGCGGCGACCUGGUCCAUUACUGACGCUGAGGCGCGAAAGCGUGGGGAGCAAACAGGAUUAGAUACCCUGGUAGUCCACGCCGUAAACGAUGUGUGCUGGAUGUUGGGUGUCAUAGACACGCAGUGUCGUAGCUAACGCGGUAAGCACACCGCCUGGGGAGUACGGCCGCAAGGUUG
rnacentral:rRNA from 1 species